CUGGUAAAUACUUUGACCUCAUCAAUUCUCAAUUUUCGCGUUCUGAGUUUGUUAUCAAAUAAUGCAUAUUAAUGGGCUUUUUCGCUUUAUGCUUUUGUUAUUUUUAUGUUUCACAAAUAUUGUAUGCAUAACUUUUUCGGAAAAUGCCGAUUUCAAGGAAAGCUUAUCUCAGGAGAAAAAACGUUCAUUAAUAGUCAAUGGGUUUGACGCGCCGCUUGAGAGGCCGUUUUUUGCGUCUCUCACUUUUCGACGUGGGGAAAACCCGUGUGGUGCAUCUAUCGUGGCUGAGAACUGGCUGGUAACUGCUGCUCACUGUGUUUACUCGUCUGAUGCGCGUGAUAUUUUUGUAGAAAUUGGAUAUUUUGUGCUGGAUUCAAGAUACAACCAGCAGUAUAGAGUGGAAAAGAAAAUUCUUGCUAAUGGUUUUCGAAUGAGUGAGGAAUUUGUCCAUGACAUUGCACUUUUAAAGCUCCGCGCACCAAUUCCGAACCACCUCCGUAUUUUACCUUUAUGCGCUAGCCAUUUACCACCUUUUGAUGCGUCUCCUCAGCUUCUGGGCGCAUGUGGUAGGGGUUCAACCUCCAGAACCCAUUACAUACCAGCAAACGUCCUCCAAGAAACCUUCUUUUAUGAAAGCAUGUUUGAAUCAAACACGAAACCACACGAGCUUCGAUUGUGCCGAGAUGACAAUGUUUGUGUUGAAAGUGUAGCAGAAGGAUCUAAUAUGUGUCUUUUUGACGAUGGAAGUCCCCUCUAUGUUUUUGAGUGCGGAACUUUGAACCCAAAAUGUCUAUAUGGAGUUUUCAGUUUCUCAAGAGGUCGGGUGGAUACUCCAGGAGAGCUCUGUAACAAUGGAAGCUUCUUCACGAAUGUUCCUCGCUUUUAUCACUGGAUGAGCACAAUUAUCGAAGAUAAUUGAGAAACUACUUGUCACAACCUCUUUUCUAUCUCGCACUGAAGUUUCAUGGGAAGAAAAUGAUUGCAAUGGAUUAUUUGCGCAAAAAACUUAAUCCUUUCAAUCGGUUUUCAUGACCGAUCUAACAUGAAAACCGCGAU